rnacentral:lncRNA from 1 species
UGGAACUGAGAGUUCGAAGUCUGAUGAAGCCGAGCUUCUUUAGAGCUGCUUGUUUUGUUUGUUGUUUUGUUUUUUUUUUAAGGCUUUAUAACGUGCACUUCGCCAAUGAAAUGAGAAGAGAAUUUUUCGUUACCUCAUCCCCUCCUCUCUUUUUUUGGCCUUCAAGGCUUUGUAAUGUAUACUUCACCAAUGAAAUGAG